AGGGAAGCUUCCACAUUGUCCAGUACCGUCCAUCAUAGUAUCCGGGUGAGUUACCGUGCUCACGGUACACAAAUCCGUGCUAUACAAACCACAUGUUACAAACCACUCAGAUAACAUUUUGAACAUGUUUAUAUAAAUCAAGAUCCUAAUAUAUUAAACCAAAUUUUCCUAAGAUCUAGCUAGUUUAUAUAGAUGUUUAAAUUUUGUUUAAUUACCUCCAACUCGAAUUCAACACAAGGAAUCCACUUGUUGCGGAUAAGGUAGUCAACUUCCUUAGCCAAUUCGGAAUCGGUAAGGUCAGGAAGGUAAGAGAGAGUCUCAAACUUCUUCUUUCCAAUCGGAGGCCACACCUAUUUUUUCGAUUUUUCCAAUGAUAUUAGUUUAUGUAGAUUCGAAGAAAGAACCGAAAAAAAUCAUAUGGAAUAAUAAAAAAGUGAAAGAAGAAAUAUAAAUGACCUGCAUGCAGUUAACUCUUCCGCCGUUGCUUGUGAUGGAAGUAAUGUCGUUGUUAGCCUUGCGGGUGGCUGGGAAGGCAGCGGAGGACUUAAGUCCGUUGAAAGGAGCGACCAUAGUGGCCUGAGCCGGAGAGGCAACCAUAGUAGCGGAAGAGAGCAUAGAG
rnacentral:lncRNA from 1 species